rnacentral:rRNA from 1 species
GAUGGAUGGACCCGCGGUGCAUUAGCUAGUUGGUGAGGUAACGGCUCACCAAGGCCACGAUGCAUAGCCGACCUGAGAGGGUGAUCGGCCACAUUGGGACUGAGACACGGCCCAAACUCCUACGGGAGGCAGCAGUAGGGAAUCUUCGGCAAUGGACGAAAGUCUGACCGAGCAACGCCGCGUGAGUGAAGAAGGUUUUCGGAUCGUAAAACUCUGUUGUUAGAGAAGAACAAGGAUGAGAGUAACUGUUCAUCCCUUGACGGUAUCUAACCAGAAAGCCACGGCUAACUACGUGCCAGCAGCCGCGGUAAUACGUAGGUGGCAAGCGUUGUCCGGAUUUAUUGGGCGUAAAGCGAGCGCAGGCGGUUUCUUAAGUCUGAUGUGAAAGCCCCCGGCUCAACCGGGGAGGGUCAUUGGAAACUGGGAGACUUGAGUGCAGAAGAGGAGAGUGGAAUUCCAUGUGUAGCGGUGAAAUGCGUAGAUAUAUGGAGGAACACCAGUGGCGAAGGCGGCUCUCUGGUCUGUAACUGACGCUGAGGCUCGAAAGCGUGGGGAGCAAACAGGAUUAGAUACCCUGGUAGUCCACGCCGUAAACGAUGAGUGCUAAGUGUUGGAGGGUUUCCGCCCUUCAGUGCUGCAGCUAACGCAUUAAGCACUCCGCCUGGGGAGUACGACCGCAAGGUUGAAACUCAAAGGAAUUGACGGGGGCCCGCACAAGCGGUGGAGCAUGUGGUUUAAUUCGAAGCAACGCGAAGAACCUUACCAGGUCUUGACAUCCUUUGACCACUCUAGAGAUAGAGCUUCCCCUUCGGGGGCAAAGUGACAGGUGGUGCAUGGUUGUCGUCAGCUCGUGUCGUGAGAUGUUGGGUUAAGUCCCGCAACGAGCGCAACCCUUAUUGUUAGUUGCCAUCAUUCAGUUGGGCACUCUAGCAAGACUGCCGGUGACAAACCGGAGGAAGGUGGGGAUGACGUCAAAUCAUCAUGCCCCUUAUGACCUGGGCUACACACGUGCUACAAUGGGAAGUACAACGAGUCGCGAAGUCGCGAGGCUAAGCUAAUCUCUUAAAGCUUCUCUCAGUUCGGAUUGCAGGCUGCAACUCGCCUGCAUGAAGCCGGAAUCGCUAGUAAUCGCGGAUCAGCACGCCGCGGUGAAUACGUUCCCGGGCCUUGUACACACCGCCCGUCACACCACGAGAGUUUGUAACACCCGAAGUCGGUGAGGUAACCUUUUGGAGCCAGCCGCCUAAG